GCAUGGGUCGGAUUGGCGGGCGGCUGGAGCAGGCCGAGUGGCCCCCGGGGCCCCCGGGGACAUUGAUCCCAAGCUGUCAGCUCACAACAGCCCUCAACGAUGUUUACACGCCUGAUGCAGCGAUUAGAUUACUUCCAACAUCACACUCGUCCAGCUGCUGAGAUGGAGUCACUGAAGCUUAUACCACAUCCCAAACAGACAACAGAGUUCGUAAAUGAAUCUCUUGGGCCUUGUUAAAAUUUGCAAGACGAACUGUGCCCACCAAGCUGACAUUUCACAGCCAAUCAACUGUGACUGAAGAAGCAAACCCGGCUUUAUCCAGUUUAACAAUGCAAUUACUGUAUAUAAACAAAACCUGGACACACGUGCAUUAGAAUUGAAGGGUAGAAAUCCUGGAGCCUUGUGGUCAACUGUGAUAGGCCAGGGUGUUAGGAUUGGUUGGGAGCAAGGCCGUGAAGUCAAAGCAAGGAACAGCAAACACUGUCUGCAACCUUACCUCAACAACUACGAUCUGAUAUGGUCUUUAUUUUGCUUGCACCACAUACAUUUGCUUUGCACUCUUUGCACUCUUAUGUUACCUAGUAUUAGUGCUGUUAAUUUAUUAAAUUAUUAUUAUAUUAUUGAUCAUUAUAUAUUAAUUUGUGUGUUAUUGCUGUCAUGGGCCUGUAAUUAUGAAGCAUUUACUAGGAUAUUGAUGUAAAAUCAGAACUGUAUUAUCAUUAAUGACAUCAGAUUUUAACAAAAAAAAUUCUUGCUUUGAAUCACCGAUUUAAAGAUUGGAGUAUAUUGGAUGUUUCCUCUCAGUUUGGUUGAUCCUUCACAGCUUGAAAGGAUGCCAAGGUUGCUGAAGAGAAUACCUUUCCAAUUACAGCUUUAGCUGGCAUCUCCCCAAUGGUAGUCCAGGUAAAAUUAACAGGCCAUCAUAAGAGGAUCAUUGGAUCCAACUGUCUUCUUGGCCUGAAGAUAAACACAACGUGCUAGAGUAACUCAGCGGGUCAGGCAACAUCUCUGGGGAAAAGGAUGAGUAACAUUUUGGGUCGGGUCCCUUCUUCAGACCAAAAGUAGAGGGGAGGGAACUGGAGGUAAGAAAAGGCCAGAACAAAGCAGGGCCGGCAACAGAUGACCAAGGAAGACCAUAAUGGCACAUUGUUGGCUGCAGAAGUGGUGAUAACAAGAGGGAUACAAGGAUGCGAAUAGUGGGACUAGUAGGACGUCUAGGGUGGGGA